AAAGCUAGAAUGCCAGUGGCUCUGCUUAAUUAAGAAUGAGGAGAUUUUAUAUGUCACCAAAGAUUACUGCAAUAUUUAUAUAGAUGUACAGUGUUCUUGUCUGGUUGCAUCACUACCUACUAAUAAUCCCAUGAGGCUGCAGAGGCAGACGUAGCCAAUUUCUUCGUGCACUGUACCCUCCCUGCCGCAUCUUCAAGAUGUGGUGACUUCAGCUGGCAGCACCCAUCGAUAAGGACCUUCAUCAUCCAGGAAGUACCCUCCACAUAGUACUACAUCAGAAGCCUGAACACUUACUCUCAAUAUUUUAAGAACAGUUUCUUCGCUCUGCCAUCAGAUUUCAUGAACACAGACUCAUUAUAAGCCUUUUGCACUAUUUAUUUGUUUUGUAACUUAUUUUUGUCUUGUACUUUGCAGCAGCAAAACAACAAAUUUAAUGACAUGUCAGUGAUAAUUAACCUCUAUUCCUUUCUGAUAUCCAUAUAUUUUCAGCCUCCUCCACUGCUUAAGCCUGCACUCUUCCUUCAGUUUCAAGUUACUUUUCCUUCCCAAGAGUUGUCUUCUUGAAUUUCUAUGACAUUACUUCCAUGAACCCGACAUUCUAUCAUGGUCUUAUAACCAUAUAACAAUUAGUCCAUGCUGAAUGCUUACUCUCACCUAGUCUCACUGACCUGCACUCAGCCCAUAACCCUCCAUUCCUUUCCUGUCCAUAUACCUAUCCAAUUUUACUUUAAUUGACAAUAUUGAACCUGCCUCUACCACUUCUAUUGGAAGCUCAUUCCACACAGCUACCACUCUCUGAGUAAAGAAAUUCCCCCUCGUGUUACCCCUAAACUUUUGACCCCAAACUCUCAACUCAUGUCCUCUUGUUUGAAUCUCCCCCCACUCUAAAUGGAAAAAGCCUAUCCACGUCAACUCUAUCUAUCCCCCUCAUAAUUUUAAAUACCUCUAUCAAGUCCCCCCUCAACCUCCUAUGCUCCAAAGAAUAAAGACCUAACUUGUUCAGUCUCUCCCUGUAACUUAGGUACUGAAACCCAGGUAACGUUCUAGUAAAUCUUCUCUGUACUCUAUUUUGUUGACAUCUUUCCUAUAAUUCAGUGGCCAGAACUGUACACAAUACUCCAAAUUUGGUCUCACCAAUGCCUUGUACAAUUUUAACAUUACAUCCCAACUCUUAUACUCAAUGCUCUGAUUUAUAAAGGCCAGCACACCAAAAGCUUUCUUCACCACCCUAUCCACGAGAUUCCACCUUCAGGGAACUAUACACCAUUAUUCCUAGAUCACUCUGUUCUACUGCAUUCUUCAAUGCCCUACCAUUUACCAUGUACAUCCUAUUUUGAUUAGUCCUACCAAAAUGUAACUCCUCUCACUUAUCAGCAUUAAACUCCAUCUGCCAUCUUUCAGCCCACUCUUCUAACUGGCCUAAAUCUCUGCAAGCUUUGAAAACCUACUUCAUUAUCCACACACCACCUAUCUUGGUAUCAUCUGCAUACUUACUAAUCCAAUUUACCACCCCAUCAUCCAGAUCAUUAAUGUAUAUGACAAACAAUAUUGGACCCAGUACAGAUCCCUGAGGCACACCACUAGUUACUGACCUCCAAUCUGACAAACAGUUAUCCACCACUACUCUCUGGCAUCCUAAUCAGACCCUGACUAUCCAGAUAAUUAUAUAUACCAUCUCUACGAAUACUUUCCAUUAAUUUACCCACCACUGACGUCAAACUUACAGGCCUAUAAUUGCUAGGUUUCCUCUUAGAACCCUUUUUAAACAAUGGAACAACAUGAACAAUAUGCCAAUCCUCUGACACCAUCCCUGUUUCAAAUGACAUUUGAAAUAUUUCAAAUUUUCAAACCACCUCGGACAAAACUCAUAUUUUUUACAACCCAUCUUUUCCUUGUGCAAAGGAAGAUAUUGACUCUAAUUUUGAAGUUUCUAAACACAAAUUACUCCAAAAGUAUGGAAGCUUUAUUCAAGUGACUGGCCAUUGCAUUUUUGUAAUAGAGUAAUAAAUACUUGUAAUUCUUCGGUUCUUUGCGGGAAUGGGAUCUACUCUUGGGGGUCUCAUAACUAACUCUAUUUGAUAUGCCAAGGAUGCGAAUUGUUUGUUAUGUCUCCCCUCUUGGUGAAAUGGGGACACUUCUAUUUCCCUUAUUAGGGAGAGAGAGAGCCUGUGGUAUGUGGAAAUACGGGAUGAACGAGUAGUCUUUAGGAGACUGCAAGUCUGUCUUUAUUGAAUUGAUGCUUUGCUGCACGCUUGAGUGCUUGGUGAAGGGUGCUGAUUUUUUUGCUGUGGGGAGGUGUCACCUUGCUGCUUGCUGCUUAUGUGUAGGAGGGAGAGCUGGGGGAAGGCUUUGGGAUUGUAAUAUUUAACUGUCAUUCAUUCUUUGGGGCACUGCUCUGUUUUUGUGGAUGUUUGCGAUGAAAAAGAAUUUCAGGAUGUAUAUUGCAUACAUUUCUCUUACCUUAAAUGUACCUAUUGAAACCUAAUACAAGGAAGGCACUUUGCUCUAAAGAACCAUGCCUAAUUAAAUUUUAAAUAUCUACAAUGUUUUCUUUCUCCUGUAAACUUUAUGUACUGGCUUCUCAGAUCCCAUUCAAAGUUAUGAGAGAUUACUUUUAAAUAGCUGGACUUGUACAUUGUAUUGCUGGUGAAAGUUUAAAUAUAUUCUGAUUAAUUUUAGAUCAAGUGAAUUAUGAUUGCACUUUUGCAAGAGUAAUGAAUUAUUGUUGCUAAAAGCUGUAUAUGACAGAAGCAACAAUAAUAGAAACAUAGAAAACCAACAGUACAAUACAGGCCCUUCAGCUCACAAGGCUGUGCUGAACAUGUCCUUACAUUAAAACUACCUAGGCUUACCCAUAGCCCUCUAUUUUUCUAAGCUCCAUGUACCCAUCCAAGAGUCUCUUAAAAGACCCUAUUGUAUCAGCCUCCACCACCGUUGCUGGCAGCCCAUUCCACGCACCAACCACUCACUGCAUUUAAAAAAAAUCUUAACCCUGACAUCUCCUCUGUACCUACUUCCAAGCACCUUAAAACUGUGCCCUCCGGUGCCAGCCAUUUCAGCUCUGGGGAAAAGUCUCUGACUAUCUGCACGAUCAAUCAUCAUCUUCUACACCUCUAUCAGGUCACCUCUUAUCCUCCAUCGCUGCAAGGAAAAAAGGUCGAUUUCACUCAACCUAUUCUCAAAAGGUAUGCUCCCCAAUCCAGUCAAUAUCCUUGUAAAUCUCCUCUGCACCCUUUCUGUGGUUUCCACAUACUUCCUGUGGUAAGGUGAUCUUACAGGUCAUCUAUAUCAAUGAUCUGGAUGAUAAUGUGUUAAAUUGGAUCAGCAAAUUUGCUAAUGAUACAAAGAUUGGAGGUGUAGUGGACACUGAGGAAGGUUUUCAAAGCUUGCAGAGGGAUCUGGACCAGCUGGAAAAAUGGGCUGAAAAAUGACAGAUGGAGUUUAAUACAGACAAGUGUGAGGUAUUGCACUUUGGAAGGAAAAACCAAAUUCCCUAAAAGUGGCGUCACAGGUAGAAAGGGUAAUAAAGAGAGCUUUUGGUCUUUAUAAAUCAAAGUAUUGAGUAUAAGAAUUGGAAUGUUAUGGUGAGGUCGUGUAAGGCAUUGGUGAGGCCGAAUUUGGAGUAUUGUGUGCAGUUUUUGUCACCGAAUUACAAGAAGGAUAUCAAUAAGGUUGAAAGAGUGCAGAGAAGGUUUACAAGAAUGUUGCCGGGACUUCAGAAACUGAGUUACUGAGAAAGGUUGAAUAGGUUAGGACUUUAUUCCCUGGAGUGUAGAAGAAUGAGGGGAGAUUUGAUAGAGGUAUAUAAAAUUAUGAUGGGUAUAGGUAGAGUGAAUGCAAGCAGGCUUUUUCCACCGAGGCCAGGGGAGAAAAAAAACCAGAGGACAUAGGUAAGGUGAAGGGGGAAAAUUUUAAAGGGAGUAUUAGGGGGAGCUUCUUCACACAGAGAGUGGUGGGAGUGUGUAAUGAUCUGCCAGAUGAAGUUGUAAAUGCAGGCUCACUUUUAACAUUUAAGAAAAACUUGGACAGGUACAUGGAUGAGAGGUGUAUGGAGGGAUAUGGGCCAGUGGGAUUAGGCAGAGAAAUGGUUUGGCACAGCCAAGAAGGGCCAAAAGGCCUGUUUCUGUGCUGUAAUGUUCUAUGAUUAUAUGUUCUGUGGUUCGAAUGUGACCAGAACUGAGCACAGUACUCCAAGUAGGGUCUGCCCAGGGUUCUAUACAGCUGCAACAUUACCUCUUGGCUCCUAAACUCAAUCCCAUGAUUGAUGAAGGCCAAUGCACCUUAUGCUUUCUUAACCACAGAGUCAAUCUGCUUAUCAGCUUUGAGCGUCCUAUGGACUCGGACCUCAAGAUCCCUCUGAUCCUCCACGCUGCCAAGAGUCUUACCAUUAAUACUAUAUUCUGCCAUCAUAUUUGACCUACCAAAAUUAACCACCUCACACUUAUCUGGGUUGAACUCCAUUUGCCACUUCUCAGCCCAGCUUUGCAUCCUAUCAAUGUCCUGCUGUAACCCCCAACAGCCCUCCACACUAUCCAACCUUUGCGUCACCAGCAAAUUUACUAACCCAUCCCUUCACUUCCUCAUCCAGGUCAUUUAUAAAAAUCAUGAAGAGUAGGGGUACCAGAAGAAAUCCCUGAGGCACACCAGUGGUCACCGGUCUCCUGCAGAAUAUGACCAGUCUACAACCACUCUUUGCCUUUUGUGUGCAAGCCAGGUCUGGAUCCAGAAAGCAAUGCCCCUUUGGAUCCCAUGCCUCCUUACCUUCUCAAUAAGCCUUUCAUGGGUUACCUUAUUAAAUGCCUUGCGGAAAUCCAUAUACACUACAUCUACUGCUCUACCUUCAUAAAUAUGUUUAGUCACAUCCUCAAAAAAUUCAGUCAGGCUUGUAAGCCACACUGACUAUUCCUUAUCAUAUUAUGCCUCUCUAAAUAUUCAUAAAUCCUGCCUCUCAGGAUCUCCUCCAAUGACUUACCAACCACUGAAGUAAGACUCACUGGUCUAUAAUUUCCUGGGCUAUCUCUACUCCCUUUCUUGAAUAAGGGAACAACAUUUGCAACCUUCCAAUCCUCUGGAACCUCUCCCAUCCCCAUUGAUGAUGCAAAGAUCAUUGCCAGAGGCUCAGCAAUCUCUUCCCUCACCUCCCACAGUAGCCUGUGGUACAUCUCAUCUGGUCCUGGUGACGUAUCCAACUUGAUGCUUUACAAAUGCUCCAGCACAUCCUCUUUCUUAAUAUCUACAUGCUCAAGCUUUGCAGUCUAUUGCAAGACAUCCCUACAAUCUCCAAGAUCUUUUUCGUAGUGAAUACUGAAGCAAAGUAUUCAUUAAGUACCUCUGUUAUCUCCUCUGAUACCAUAAACACUUUUCCACUGUCUCACUUGAUUGGUCCUAUUCUCUCAAGUCUCAUCCUCUUGCUCUUCACAUAUUUUUAGAAUGCCUUGGGGUUUUCCUUAAUCUUGUCCACCAAGGCUUUCUCAUGGCCCCUCGGGGCUCUCCUGAUUUCAUUCUUAAGCUUCUUCCUGCUAGCCUUAUAACCUUCUGGAUCUCAAUCAUUACCUAGCCAUUUGAAUCUUUCAUAAGCUCUUCCGGAUUAACAACAGCCUUUGUACACCACAGUUCCUGUACCCUAACAUCUUUUCCCUAUCAUUGGAAUGUACCUAUGCAGAACUCCACACAAAUAUUCCCUGAACAUUUCUUCCGUACAUUUCCCUGAGAACAUCUGUUCCCAAUUGAUGUAUCUAAGUUCCUGCCUGAGCCUCAUAAUUCCCCUUACUCCAAUUAAACGUUUCCUUAACUUGUCGGUUCCUAUCCCUCUCCAAUGCUAUGGUAAAAGAGAUAGUGAUCAUAAUUCUAUCUCCAAAAUUCUCUCCUACUAAGAGAUCUGACACCUGACCAGGUUCAUUUCCCAAUACCAGAUCAAGUACAGCCUCUCUUGUAGGCUUAUCUAUAUAUUGUGUCAAGAAACCUUCCUGAACACACCUAACAAACUCCACCCCAUCUACACCGCUCGCUCUAGGGAGAUGCCAAUCGACAUCUGGGAAAUUAAAAUCUUUCACACAACAACCUUGUUAUUAUGACACCUUCCCAGAAUCUGUCCUCCUAUCUGCUCCUCGAAGGCCCUGUUACUAUUGGGUGGUCUAUAUAAAAAAAACAUCCAGUAGUGUUAUUGACCCCUUCCUGUUCCUACCUUCCACCCACAGAGACCCUGUAGACAAUCCCUCCGUAUUUUCCUCCUCUUCUGCAGCCGUGACACUAUCUUUGAUCAACAGGGUCAUGCCCCCAACUCUUUUGCCUCCCUCCCUGUACUUCCUGGAACAUCUAAAGCCUGGCAUUUGAAGUAACCAUUCCUGCCCCUGAGCCAUCCAAGUCUCUGUAAUGGCCACAACAUCAUAGCUCCAAGUAUUAAUCCACACUCUAAGCUCAUCCACUUUGUUCGUUAUACUCGUGCAUUAAAAUAGACAUCUGAAACCAUCGGUCUGAGUGUGUCCCUUCUCUAUCUAUCACCCUCUCACUCUGUUUCCAAGCUUUUUCUAUUUGUGAGCCAACCGCCUCUUCCUCCAUCUCUUCGGUUUGGUUCCCACCUCCCAGCAAUUCUUGUUUAAACUCUCCCCAAAAGCCUAAGCAAACUUCCCUGCCAGGAUAUUGGUCCCCCAGGAUUCAGGUGCAAACUGUCCUUUUUGUAUAGGUCACUGCUGCCUUUAAAAAAGAUAUCCCAAUCCCUCAACCAUGCAUUCAUACUCCACCUCACUCUAUUCCUGUACAUGCUCACUAUCAUGUGGAACAGGCAGUCAUCCCAAGAUGACUACUUUUGUGGUCCUGCUUCUCAACUUCCUUCCUAACUCCCUGUAGUCUGCUUUCAGGACCUCCUCCCUUUUCCUGCCUAUGUCUUUGGUACCAAUAUGUGCCACGACCUGAUGAAGGGUCUUGGCCCAAAACGUCGACAGUGCUUCACCUUAUAGAUGCUGCUUCGUGUGCUGUGUUCCACCAGCAUUUUGUGUGUGUAGUUUGAAUUUCCAGCAUCUGCAGAUUUCCUCGUGUGUGCCAUGACCUCUGGCUGUUCCACUUCCCACUUCAGGAUAUUGUGGACGCGAUCAGAAACAUCCCGGACGAUGGCGCCUGGGAGCACAGACAUAACAUCACAAAUGAAAAAUUUCAUGGCAUUUGGAAAGCUCCCAGGCGAUGCACAGGUCUCUGCUCAACAGACACUUAUGAGAAGUGACCUCAUCUUUAAUGAACAGAUAAUGGAAAAAUAGAAAAAGACUCCAUACAGCGAAAAAUGAAGAUCGCUGUCACAUAUAAAAAGAAUGAAUUCAUCUGUGUCAGAGUGAACAUAUGCUGCUUAACAGUGUACUAAUCGUGAAAGAAACAAAAAUCUAUCAUAAACCGAAAAAUGAAGGUAAUUGUUUCACGGGCCAUAUAACAAUUACAGCACAGGAACAGGCCACCUCAGCCCUUCUAGUCCGUGCCGAAUGCUUGCUCUCACCUAGUCCCAUCUACCUGCACUCAGCCCAUAACUCUCCAUUCCUUUCCUGUCCAUAUACCUACCCAAUUUUUUAAAAUGACAAAAUUGAACCAGCCUCUACCACUUCUAUUGGAAGCUCAUUCUACACAGCUACCACUCUCCGAGUAAAGAAGUUCCCCCUCGUGUUACCCCUAAACUUUUGCCCCCAAACUUUCAACUCAUGUCCUCUUGUUUGAAUCUCCCCCACUCUAAAUGGAAAAAGCCUAUCCACAUCAACUCUAUCCAUUCCCCUCAUAACUUUAAAUACCUCUAUCAAGUCCCCCCUCAACCUUCUACACUCCAAAGAAUAAAGACCUAACUUGUUCAACCUUUCUCUGUAACUUAGGUGCUGAAACCCAGGUAACAUUCUAGUAAAUCUCCUCUGUACUCUCUCUAUUUUGUUGACAUCUUUCCUAUAAUUCAGUGACCAGAACUGUACACAAUACUCCAAAUUUGGCCUCACCAAUGCCUUGUACAAUUUUAACAUUACAUCCCAACUCCUAUACUCAAUGAAAACACAAAAUGCUGGCAGAACUCAGCAGGCCAGUCAGCAUCUAUGCGAGGAGGAAGUGACGACGUUUCGGGCCUCAUUGCUCUGAUUUAUAAAGGCCAGCAUACCAAAAGCUUUUUUCACCACCCUAUCCACAUGAGAUUCCACCUUCAGGGAACUAUGCAACAUUAUUCCGAGAUCACUCUGUUCUACCGCAUUCUUCAAUGCCCUACCAUUUACCAUGUAUGUCCUAUUUGGAUUAUUCCUAUCAAAAUGUAGCACCUCAUACUUAUCAGCAUUAAACUCCAUCUGCUAUCUUUCAGCCCACUCUUUUAACUGGCCUAAAUCUCUCUGCAAGCUUUGAAAACCUACUUUAUUAUCCACAACGCCACCUACCUUAGUAUCAUCUGCAUACUUACUAAUCCAAUUUACCACCUCAUCAUCCAGAUCAUUAAUGUAUAUGACAAACAACAUUGGACCCAGUACAGAUCCCUGAGGCACACCACUAGUCACCAGCCUCCAACCUGACAGUUAUCCACCACUACUCUCUGGCAUCUCCCAUGUUGAAUCCAUUUCACUACUUUAACAAAAUUGUUAGAAGUUUUAUAUAAAACCACACCUCUUCCCGUCAUAGUUGCUGUGGCUGUUCGGAACUGACGACAGAUAAUAAACCAUUUGCAGCGCUGGAACCCAGUAGACAUGGUUGGGGAUGGUCAUUCAAUUCCAAUAGUCUUGAGGAUGCUGCUCCAUCAUGUCAGACUGUACUCUGACUGCGGACUUCAUUUUGUGAGCUUCACAUAAGUUGUACAGAAGCUGUACACUUAUAAGGCAUCUUCUAUUGAUGCAGAUACAGUAUUACAAAAUCUGAAAAAAAUCCAAAACACUAACAGCACCAAGCAUUACAAAUAAGGAAUGCUCAAUCUGUAUCUAAAAUUCUAAUAGUCAUAAAUGGUGUAGAGGGAAUGCAUGGUAGUUGUAUUUAAAAACAAGAGGCAUAGGUUUAAAUUGAGAUUGUAGGUCUUGAGGCUUUUGCAGCUCCUCCCAGUGGUAGACCUAGAAGCAGAAUCAGACUAUUAAGGCCGCCGUCUCCUCCGCCAUUCCAUCAUUAAUAUUCCUUUUGACUCCAUUCUGCAGCCCUCUUCCUAUAACCCUUGAUGGCCCUAAAUGGACGUCUUUGUAUUCUGAGACUGGCCUCCAGUCCCAGACUCUCCCACUGUAGGAAAUAUCCUUUCCACCCUCACUCUCUAGGCCUUUCAAUUUGUGUCAAUGAGAUCCUGCUCAUUCUUCUAAACUCCAGUGAGUACAUGCCCAGAGUCAUCAAACGCUCCUUACUCCUUAAUCCUUUCAAUCCUGUCAAUUUCCUUUGGAGUCUGGAACCUCUCCAAUUCCCACAUGUCCUUUCUUGCAUACAAAAUUGCACACAAUACUCAUCUCGUACUGUAUUUGGAGUAAUCACACCGGUAGUGUAACCUAGUGUAAGAAGGAGACAGACCUGUGCUUUAUCCAUUGCACUGUAACAACUGGUCCUAGCAGUUGUACAGGACUGAUCACCAGUUCUAUAACAAGAGCACAUCUAUAGAUGUGCGCGGAACUGGUCUGACGAGGUGCGCGAAGCAUCUGUUUGCAGGAAAGUUUAGAGCAUUUUCAUUCUGUCAGAUAGGGAAACAAAAAGUACGCUGUUAUUCUACACACCCAAUAUAAAAAUCCGGAGGAUUGAAAUUACUUACACACACACCUCAAAACGAUUACAACUGGAUGUCAACAUGAUACUUUACAAAAGGGCUAUGAUCGGCCCAUCUCAAAGACAAGUACACCAUAUCCUUGUUAUAUGCGUCCUCAUACAAUGCGAGUUAUGCGAGGAAUCUAUUUCUACCAAUGUCUCCUUAUAUACGUCCAAAACUCACAGUUAUGCGAGGAACACUGCUCUCCCGCCAAUACAAUGUUACGUGCGCACACCUCACAGUCUCAAUCCCGCCAGUCUCGCAUUGGUUUUGGCAAGGUGUGGAUGUGCGAUCUUGCGCUCUUAAACUUUGUUGUUGUUACCUACGGUGCAGUGAUUUUUUUUGUUGGAAAUAUUUAACUAUGCCUCCUAAGCAUCUGAUGUCAAGUCCUGGGCCAUCAGCCGAGUGGCAGAGAACCACUUUAACGCUUGAACAAAAGUUGGAAAUUAUAAACAGCGCAGCAUCAGCUCUGGGACGCUACUACCUGGGACAGAAUUUUGCCUUUAAAGUUCUUUUGUUGCCUGACAAUUCGCCAGCCCCUCCUAAACAUUUGGACAGCAUUCAUCCUAAUAUAACAGUGCGUUCGUUUCCUGCCGCCUAACACAACAACUCUGACUCAACCACUUGACCAAGACGUACUUAUUUUACGGCGAACUAUCUCUCAGGUGCCGCAAGCAACAGAUGCUUUUGAAAAUCCCAGGAGGUUACCAACGGUGAGGGAAUGGUGGAAGUCGGAACAGUUGGCACAAAUGGUGAUGGACACGGACCCAAGUUUAGAACGGACUCAGCAUUUCAGUCGUUCCCUGCCGUCAACCCUUCUUCCCUACAAGCAAAUUUAUGCUGAAAAACAAAAUGCUGCCAAGCAAACAACCCUCACCACUUUCUUCAAACCAGUGCCAGCAGUUCUAAGAGUUCUUUGAGUCUUCCUUCACCUCUUGCUGUGUUUGAUCUGAUCCUGAUGACCACAACCAUCCACCUUAUCCACGUAAAGCUGCCCGACACCACAACAACCACUCAUCUCCCGGAGCGAACACACCUGCCACUGUUGAUACACCGUAGAAAGCAUUCUUCUAGGGUGCAUCACAACCUGGUAUGGAAGUUGUUCUGUCCAAGACCGGAAAAAGCUGCAGAAGAUCGUGAACAUAGCCCAGCACAUCACAGAAACCAGUCUUCCAUCCUUGGACUCACUUUACACCGCACGCUGUCGGAGCAGUGCUACCAGGAUAAUCAAGGACAUGACCCACCCAGCCAACACAUUUUUUGUCCCUCUUCCCUGCAGGAGAAGGUUCAGGAGCUUGAAGAUUUGUGCGGCCAGAUUUGGGAACAGCUUCUUUCCAACUGAUAAGACUGCUGAAUGGAUCCUGACCCAGAUCUGGGUCGUACCUUCCAAAUAUCCGAACCUGACUUGCACUACCGUACUUUCCCUUUUCUAUUUUCUAAUUAUGAUUUGUAAUUUAAAUUUUUUUAUUAUAUUUACUUUGAUUUGUACUUAAGGGAGUGCAAAGCGCAGAAUCAAAUAUUGCUGUGAUGAUUGUACGCUCUAGUAUCAAUUGUUUGGUGACAUAAAGUAAAGUAAAACAUUACAUAUCCAUUAAACCUGCCUUUUCAUGAGCAUGCUGUACUUAGAGUGUUAACUUGAUGCUAAAAUCUCCUAAUCUUACUUAAAUCUGCUCCCACGAGUGGCCUUUGUACGGCUGGUAUCAGCACGCAGAUCAUCGGUUUCUAUUGUGGUGAGGUUAAUCUGGACAACGUCGCUUUAGGGAGAAGCAAAGAGUGCAGGACAAAAGCUGGCACUUCACAAUCUAUUAUAGAGAGAUUGAUUCUGUCUGCUUGAUGCAACCAGCUUUUAAAUAGUUCCUCCAUGCUCUCAAGUAGGGCCUUUUUCAUCAGAAUGUGCAAUAAACCAAAGGAGGAGUCUGUAGGUGAGCUGACAUGUUCAAAAGGCUGAUUUUUUUUUAAGAAGUAUGAUUUCAUUAAAAGACACCAAAGUGACCAAAGAGAACAGAACAGCAAAACACUGUACAGGUUGUUCAACCUAUGGUGUUGUACCAACCUUUUAACCUAAUCAAAGAUCAACCUUAAGCCAUAGGAGCAGAGUUAGGCCAUUUGGCAUGUCAAGUCUGUUCCAGCAUUCCAUUCCAGCUGAUUUAGUAUCCCUUUUCCAUCCCAUUCUGCUCCUUUCUCUCUGUAAUCUUGAUGCCCUUACUAGUUAAGAACUAAUCAACUUCCAUUUUAAAUAUACCCAAUAACUUGUCCUCCACAGCCCUCUGUGGCAAUGAAGUCCUCACAUUCACCACCCUCUGGCUAAUGAAAUUCUUCCUCAACCAUUUUAUAAAGGGACAUCCUUGCAUUCGAUGGAUAUGCCCUCUGGUUCUACACUCCUUCCCUCAUUGGCCUCCAUCUUUCUUUCAUCCAUAUGCCUGAGUCUUUUAAUUAUCCCUAAUGUAUCUGCCUCUAUCACCUCCAUUUAUCUGUCACCCAUUUUCCUAUCUAAGAGCCUGUUAAAUGAUAAUAAUGUAACUGCCUCUACCAUCAUCCCUGACAGCUCAUUCCAUGCACCUACCAUUCUCUGUGUGGGGGAAAAAACAUACCACUGAUAUCCCUCUAUACUUUCCUCCAAUCACUUUAUAAUAAUACCCUCUCAUAUUAGCAAUAUCCAUUCUGGGAGAAAAAGACUCUGGCUGUCAACUCUGUCUAUGCCCCUUAUAUAUUUUACACGUCUUUCAAGUCACCUUUGAUCCUACCACCAAGGAGGAGUAUUAUGAUCCCAUGCUACCUAGACAUACACAACGUGUGGCACUGUUAAUACUUGCAGCUAAAAGGUCUUGUCAGUAGUUUAUGAGGUGAGAGAUGUAUUUUGAAAAUGUCAAAAUACCAUUGGUGUUUUACAAUGAUUCCUGCAUAGCAGAAGUGUUCAAGAGCCUUCUUUCUGCCCCUUUUAACUUUGCAUUAGAUUGGCUGCCAUGGUAGCAUAGUGGUUAGCGUGGCACUGUUACAGUUCCGAGUUCCAAGUCCCACAGUGUCAUACAGUGGGUUUUCUCUGGGUUCUCCAGUUCCCUUCCAUAGUCCAAAUUGCUUCACAGAAAUUGUCCUGUGAUUGAGCGAGGGUCAUUCGAGGGAUGCUGGGAGGGUGCAUUUUGAAAGGGCGUAUUUUGCACAAUAAACAAUAUCCACAAUGAAGUAUGUCCACGACAAUAUCAGGAAACUUGCAAACUUCAGAAAAGGUUGAGAAACUUCUAAGCCUCCUCAGGAGAAUCAAGUCAAUUGCAUAAGCAACUCCAUCAUUUAAUCCUUAGCUGACAAUCGUGUGUAGUUGAAUCAUUGAAAGUUUAAUCUAUGUUCUAUGUCUGUAUAGCCAUCACUUUGACUCUUGUAUUUUUUUCUUUCUUUAAGAUUUGUAUGAAUUUAACAUAAGUCAUAACAUAUUAUUUAAUUGAAUCUAUCUUUUCUGAAUAUAUGGUCAAUUUUUACUAAAUGAAUUUAGGAUGGCCACCGUUAAUUAUGUGCUAACAUUUAUUAGACAUAAUAUUGAAUUCAAUCUUUAUCUACAGCUGAAUCGUUGAAAAUUCAAUUUACAUUUUUUGGUGGUCCAGACAUCGUUAGGCGGUUUUAUUUUUUUUCCCUUCUGCUUUCUUUUAGGAUCUGUAAGAGUUUAAUAUCAGUCGUAUCAUAUUAUUUGGUUAGAUAUUUCUUUUUUGAAUAUAUGAUCAAUGUUUAUUAAACAAAUUUAAGAUAGCCACUGUUAACUAUGUUUUAACCUCUGUUACACAUAACAUUAUAAUAUUUGGAAUUUCUCAAUUUUCUUUCUAUGUAUCUGAUGUUGUGUCUUGAGUCAGUGGUGUUAGUUUAAAACUUUUUUUUAAAAAGAGUCUGCCUUUUAGAGACAAAGGGAUUAGGGUCUUUAGUUUAGUCCACCUAUUGGAUGUAUUUUUUUCCGGCUUUGGGGGGGAGGGGAUGGGGCUAUUAGUUUAGGUUUUUUUGACUGGGCAGUCCUGAGAGGUUUUCUUGUCAAUCACAUUGGUUUUUUUCCUUUCUGAUUGAAUCCAUUUUGUUCCUCCCUGCAGGUUUGGUUUGUUUCAGCGCACUAAUUCAGUUUGUAAAUCCCUAAAUUAAAAUCUCAGUAUGGAUGUUAAUAAAAUUAAUA